GGGUGCUCUAAAAGCAAUUUGGAGAAAAGGGUAGGUACACAAUGAGAUAAAGGAAACACAGAGAAUAGAAAACAGAGGAACUAAGCAGAGGAUAAGGUUCUUAGUUCUUACUAGCUAUCUCAACAGCUACUUCUUCGUCCAAAGUUGCAGCAAAACCAUUGAUGUGCCUUGUGUACGAGUAAAAGAUGGAGUCUUUGGCUGUAUUAGAACUACAAAGAAGCAAGCUCAAAUCAAAGCAAGGGAUUAGACUAGACCACAAGGAUUAUUUAUCUUUUUCAAGGUUGCAAAUUGCAAUGCCUCACCUUUUUCACUGCAAAGCUGGGUCUGUGCAAUAGACAGACUAGAAGAAUUUGGAGCAGAAAGUGGAUGGAAGGACUUGGUGGCCUCAUUGCUUUGCCUAUCUAGGAAGCCCUCCUUUGCUUUUUCCUUGUUUUGAAUGUAACAGAAACACAACCUUUGGUUUUAUAGGGUAACAGUCCUUGUAAAACAUAAAGUGACUGCACCUUUGCUCCUUAGGUUAAAAUUAUAUUUAAUGUACUUUCUUGCCAUAUCAGAUUCAUUUCACUAAGUGGUUUUAAUACUUUUUUAAUUUUUUACUUCA